rnacentral:rRNA from 2 species
CUUUAUCGGAGAGUUUGAUCCUGGCUCAGGACGAACGCUGGCGGCGUGCCUAAUACAUGCAAGUCGAGCGGA